GACGAACGCUGGCGGCGUGCUUAACACAUGCAAGUCGAGCGGAAAGGCCCUGCUCUUGUUGGGUUCUCGUUUGGCGAACGGGGGAGUAACACGUGAGUAUCCUGCCCUUGUCUUUGUGAUAACUCUUGGGAACUGCGGCUAUUAUCCCGUAGGAUCUUCUGCUGCGUGGGGUUGAUUGGAAAGUGACGGCGGUGGGGGCUGGACUCGCUGCUUAUCAGCUUGUUUGUCGGGUAGUGGCUUACGAAGGGUAUGACGGGUAGCCGGCCUGAGAGGGUGACCGGCCACAUUGGGACUGAGAUACGGAGCAGACUCCAACGGGAGGCAGCAGUGGGAAGCAUUGCACAGUGGGCCCAAGCCUGUUACAGAAACGUCGCGUGCGUGAUGACGGCUUACGGGUUGUAAACCGCUUUCGAAGGUGACGAAGAGAGAGUGACGGUACUGGGUAAAGAAGCAACGGCUAACUACGUG
rnacentral:rRNA from 1 species